GAUGAUUUUAUUGAAUAAAAAUUAGUAAUUACAAGGAAAAAUAGAAAUUAACAAUUUACUUCCACAAAUGCAAUAUCUCGAGUAUCAUGCUUGAGAUGGGAUGGGUCGAAUUGCCAAGGACUGGAGGAACCGUUUAUAUACGUGGCACUGUAUCUGCUGUAGCCUUAUAGGCGAGCUUCAAGAGAUAGCAACUGCCUUGAGAUGGUGGUGCACACUUGGGGACAUAGGCGAAGGCCCCCGUGCGAGCUGGAACAUUUUUCUCUGCGAUAAAAGGGCGCCAUCAGUUUGUCUUAUUGGUUCCCUGAAAAUGGGAGUCCUGUCCUUUUUGUUAGCGUAAACAUUUUUGUACAUCAGCAGCAAUUCAUCACUAACUGCAAUGGUUACCACCUCACAAUUAAAAUCUUUUUUAUUUUUUUGGUAGAUUCAUGAAAGCACAGGAGUGACAUUAACAAACUGGAUUGACGAGGGGCUGAAUUAACAAAACUGCAAAGGACAGAGGACAAACAGGGACGGUAUGCCAAGCUAUAAAAUGGAAAUUGAUCGUAAAACCAUUUUCAUAAUCUAAUCAAACAGUAUCAUUAAUUGGUCUAGUUACCAUGACUGACCAAAGCUGUCAUUCCACACGCCCUUACAUAUCCUUCAUAAAUGCCCAACAGUGUUUACACUAGCGAAAACUUUACCGGGAUAAAGAAGUACAUCUUUACAUCAACAAUCCAUGAGCCAUAAACAAAAAUGAUCCUUGUUUCAGAUUUGCCUAUGGCUUCGUGGAAGAGGAAUCCUUGUGCGCAGCUGUAUUAAUCUG